UCAUAUAUUUAAACAAGUGGUUCCGGUCACGGCAGUCUUUUAGAAGGUUGUAGAGUUUUCCGGACGUGGAAUCUUGCUGGAGGAAGUGGGUCACUGGGGUUUUGUAGCCCGGUCCCACACAGCCCAACUCCACUUCCUGUCUGUUUUCUGGUUUCUGGUCUACCAAGAGUUGAGGCGGAAACCUGGCUGCACACUGCUGCUACCAUGGAGCAGCCAGCGCCAUUUCUACUUCUCCAUGAUGGGCUGGAACUAUAAGCCACAUGAAGACCUUCUUCCACCAAGUUGCUUUUUCUCAGCCACAUGUAACUCCAGCUCCAGGAGGAUUCAAUACCCUUGAUCUCAGUAGUCACCUGCAUAGAGGAUAUUAGCAAAUCGACGGCAUCAGCUACGGGCAUGAACACCACCCUGCUCCUUACACUGAAAGGGAUAGUACUUCUGGCUUCUAGUGCCAUGCCCCGAAAUAGAUUCUUAAAAGUGUUUCAAUGGAGAGGAAGCAGUGGGUGGAAAUACCAGAAGCCAUGUCUGUAUGAUCCGGAGCCAGGAAGUUUGUCAGAACUGCUGUCUGUUAGGAAAGCAUCUUGAGAGACCAUGCUUCUUGACAAAGUUCACAGAGCGGUCUGAAGAAAGCCAAGAGUGGCCCAUCAGGCAUCUCCUCUGUUGUGAACCAGACUUUGUGAGAGAAAGCCAUGCCCUUCCCAUCUUCCUUCGAAGGAAAGAGCCUACUAACAGUAACGAGACUUCAAGCCAACUGACCCGUUGCUGGCAGGGCUGGCUGUGUAGGAAGCCCCGGUGCCUAUGAAUGCCCUGAUACCCAUGGUGAAUGUAAGGGUAAAAUGUUUCCAGGUUCUUGACCUCUUAACCAAAGAACAGAAAUUAAAAACCGAUACAAAUUUACAAAAGUCACAAGGAAACGUCAUUUAAAGUAAAAGGAUAGAAAAGACCAGAAUACACUACAAGAAUCCAUGGGCCUCACGAGUGGAGGUGCUCAAGGGCCCCGAUUAUUGUUGGGACUUCCUUUUACUGGAUUAAAAGAAGGAAGGCUUUGGUGACCAGGGGAAUCUUGAGGGUGGUUCUCUGAUUUGACUGGCAGGUUAAGUCAUAUGAUCAUUUUUCUACUGUGCAUGCCUCUUCCCAAAAUGCAUCUGAUUUUAAUCAAGUGCUUGCCCACUUAGACACAGUAUCAAGGGCAGAGGGAGACGUACUUGGGAAGAGGUGCGCUCAGUGGGAAGUGUCUCCAUCAGACUGGUGUAAGGGGCAUGUUCUUGGUUGCUAAUUGAUAUAGGAUGGUCCAGCCCACUGUGGACCGUACCAUCCCUGGACAGGUAGUCAGGAGCUAUCUAAGCAACAUUAGGAUGUAUGAGGAAUACUUUUGAACAGAAACUGUCGGAGUUUGAUAGAGAUGAGAAAUAUACCCCAUUAUUCAGAGAGGGGUGUGUGUGUGGCCUGAUGAUGGUGAGGUCUGAGGUUGUUGGGUGAAUUGUUCAGUGAGAGGCGUGUGUGCACAGCAUGUGCAGGCAAAGGAGCAAGGCUGCCAUGUGUGUUAUUAAAAGGUAGGCAUGCAAACCCAAGGGGAGUCCUGGGUUACUAAACCAUUCCCUACGCUUCUCUACUUCACCCCACACGAGGCAUGCCGCUAUGCUGAAAUAACUCAUAAGAUGUUUCACAGUGUCAUUUUUAGAGAGGUGAGAGGGCUCUGGGGCCGCUGCACAGUCUUUAGAGGUGUCCUUGUUACCUGGAGCUGUUGUUAGCUUUAGAAUGUGUGUCCUGACAACCCCUAGCAAGCCACAUCCAGGCUCGCAGUAGAGACAAGCUAGGACGAUGGUGAUGGCAGAACCACAUCCUAACCCAGAUUGCUCCUUAACAUGCUCAACUCAAACCCUCGUAUGAGAACCCACAAAGACAAAGGACAUUGGUUCUCUUUGUUCUUUCCAACCAAUGUGGUCACAUUAAACACCCCUCCCCCCAUUACUUGUUUGUUUAAUUGACUUGUUGAGGACAGAUGACCAAGCCUGGUUUGUCAGGGGUCUGUCAGGGCUCAGGCUCUGAUCCACAUAAAUCGAGUAACACAGUGACAACCCCCACCUGAGUCUAUACUGGGUCCUGGCAUGAGGUUCGGGUUUAAAUAGUGGGCAAGGGCUCUGUCUAACCGAGAGGUCCUAGCCAAGGUAUGGUCCCACACGGAUCGCUGUCUCCAGGCCAGUCUGUCCUGCAAGGUGGUCUAACAAGUGCUUGGAACUGUGUGAAAUCUCUUCCCAGAGAACUCCCUGAGGAGAUGCCAAUUCCCGUCAUUGUUUCAAUAGUCUGAUAGCCAAAGGGAUAGAGGCACAGGUCUUCAUUCCUGCUGGGAUGGUCACACCCUUUCCUAGAGAGCUGGAACGAUGGACACAGGAAGAUCUGUCUUCCUAUGGAUGUCAUGGUAAGGGUGAAGGCUGACAGCUAGCCCAGGUCUCUGCCUUAACGACCUCAGGAUUCCACAGUGACGAGCCUUCCUCACAGACAGAGCCAACCAGAAGUUUCUUCUACUGGCAAAAGAGAAGCGCUAUGUUUUUAACUAUACUAGUCAUUUUCUGUUUGUUAGGGUUUUUUUUAUUAUAGCAUUUGUGGAAAUAGGAAAGCUAGUGCUAUUUUUAAUUUUAUUACAUUUUUAUGACUCUGUGUACUGAAGCACAAAUAUAGAAGUCAGGGGACAACUUGGAGUUGGCUUUCUCCUUCCACUCUGGAUCUAGGGACUCAAGGAGGGUCACCAGCUUGGUGGUUGUCACCUUUAUCAUCUGAGCCAUCUCACUGGGCCUCAAGUAUUGUUUGUGUUUUUGGGGAACAGUCCACUUGGUCCAACGCAGAAGAAAGGCCUUGUAGACUUGAGUUCUGAGUACACCACACCCAUUCUUGAAUCUCAGCACCCGUCUUCCUUACGGCUCCCAUUAGAGUUUCUGGGUCCUCCCACUUCCUGAAUUUUCAUCCCGGAAGUUUGACAAGACCCUCCUUUGAGUUCAUCCUCAUCAGUAAAUAUGAGAGAAUUAUGUGAUUUCCUCUGAGCUUCUGUCUGACAUAGAACAGAAGUGAAUGGAGGAUAUAGAACUACUUCCUAAUCUGUGAUGAGAUUAUAUUCCUGAUCUCCCCAAAGCUCUUGCAUAUAUAUAAGAUACUUUCUCCCUGAGUCUUUGUCUCUCUGUCUCUGUCUCUGUCUCUGUCUCUUGCAACUGUGCUCCUUGUAGAGUUCUGUCCCCGCUCUCCUCCUUAGUCAGGGGGGUCCUCCCUUGUGCUGCUUGGAAACUCUGUUUGAGUAUGUGAUGGAAACUUGAGCAGCAGAGGACCCUAGGCUGUCCCAGAGACAGGCUGCACUAACACAUUGGAGUGCCUCGGAGGCUUUUAAAAUCAGCCACAUUGGAGUACAGUUGACGCAGGAUAGAAUGCAGUGCUAGUGAAAACAAUAAUGCCCCAAUAAUGAACACAUCCACCAGACUCCUCAUUGCCCUCGUGCCUUUUGCAGUGAAUCCCACAUGCCUCCUAGCUAAGCAUCCUUAGUAACCAUGGCUUCAGCCACUAAGGAUUAGAUCGUGCUUUCUAAAAAUUUGUCCAAAUAAAAAUAACAAUUAACACAUUGGGAAUUAAAAUAUAUAACUGAGCAGAAGUCAUCUUUUGCUCAGUCUUUGAAGACUUCAUGCAUGAAGCUGUGUGAUUCCACAGUCUGCAGCUCUUUCUCCGUCCAUCUGUUGAGGGACCUGGGGAUCGAGGACAGCUUGUAUGUAUAGAUACAGCUCAUGUGAAAGUCUGUGGGAAAGUGUAUACAGCCAUGUUUCCAAUUUCAGUGUUCUUGGGUAAGCAUUUAUAAG